CUGAUGAAGACCAGAAAAUCCUAGAUUCGAUGCCUGAAUGCAGUAGAACACUCGAAGCAGCAAUAAAGUAUAGAUUACAUCAAAAAUUACUGAUAGAGAAGGUUAUACAGGCCUUGGACAUUU